UUUCUAGCCUAUCCAAAUCCCACAUUACGGUCCAAAGAAAGACCUUCUAAUCAGUCUUCAAAGGAUGCCAAGUCAGACAAAUGAGAGAGUAUUAUCAGAACAUAACACUCUGAUCUCCAGUAGAAAAGAUUCUGAUCCUCAUACAGAGAAGACUCUGAUCCCCAGUAGAAAAGACUCCGGCCCCCUGCAGAAAAGAAAUAGAAAAGAGAGUCUUAUCGGUAACACCCCGAUCCUCAACUUUGAAAGAAAUACAAAUGAGAGAGUCUUAUCGAUGAAAACCUUCACGGGCACCAUAAGGCGAUGAAAGCUGAGAGAAAAGCCAAAAUGAGAGAGGCUUGAC
rnacentral:lncRNA from 1 species